rnacentral:lncRNA from 1 species
UUUUUUUUUUCCUAUCAAAGGCAGAGAAUUCAUUAAUAGAAAGCAAGUUACAAAUAUACGGCCCAAGGCGCAAUAAUAUAAAACUCUCAACUGAUACACUCCAACCCCAUAAAUUAAAGAGCCCAAACAAGCCCAAACUAGAAAACCCUAGGCUACUGAAGCUCUUCGAGAAGAUCCGGUCAUCGCUUUGUGCAGCGCCAUAGCCAUUUUCUGGACAUCAGGUGAAAGAAACAGAAGAUCAAUUUCAGAAAAACAAAUGACAAAGACUUUUGACUCUACAACAAUCUUAAAGGAUCGUCAUCUCACGCUCAAAGUCUACUCAAACAGGAGGAAGGAGAUAACAACAUCAGAAAACUCAACGGUGGCUUGACAGUACUCAUCGUUAUUAUUUGAAAGACCAGAUAAACCAUAAAACAACAGGUACCAUGAGCGUCUCCUGAGAUGUCAAAGCCUAACCAUGAUCCAUGAGCUCAACUUGCAAAAGAACUAAAAAAACAAACAACAAUAAUAUAAGAUAAAAGCAUAUCCAAUGGACCAAUAAUAUACAAAACCUCCACCAUGCAAGGUGGAAUCGCUCGCCCAAAUCAACAAAACUCAUGUCCGAGAAAAAUGUAAUGAUGAAAAAGUGCACUUUAUUUUUUUUAAUUUCUCAUAUUCUAUUAAUUUCAUUAAUUUAAUCUCUAACUAUAAAUAUUUUUAACAAUACUAAUGUAUUUAAACAAUAUAAAAUUUAUAUAUACAUGGAAUGCAUUUAAAUCCCAACUAAGUAUGUGUGGCCGAUAGUUUUGUGUAAUGUCUUUUAUAAAAUAAUGUUCAAGAUGGUUGCAAAUCGACUUAAAAGCUUGCCUUGAAUUAUUUCUCCAUCGGAGUUGGCAUUUGUUGCCGGGAGAAGCAUCCAUGAUAAUACUAUCAUUGCCUUUGAGCUUAUGUACUUUUUCAAAGGUAAAAGCGCUAUGGUCGUGAGAGCUAUGGUGCCUUAAAACAGUGGAUGAGUGUGAUCAUGCACUGUAUUACUUUAGUCACAACUAUCGUAUUGUUCAUGAUGGGAAGGAAUUGGAUCCAAUUAUGUCUACACGAGGAUUGAGACAAGGAGAUUCCUUGUCCCCAUAUAUAUUUAUCUUGUAUGCUGAGGGACUUCACAGCUUAUCUCGCACAAGGCGACUAUCUUGGCUUUACAUGGUAGUCGAGUCGCUAGAAGAUGCUCUGAGAUAACUCAUCUCUUCUUCAUCGAUGAUAGCUUGAUUUUCUUCUAUAGUACUGUUGCUAAGGCUCAGGUUGUGAAGGAGGUGGUUUCUACUUAUGCGUUCACUAAAUCUACCGUAUGCUUCUCUAAGAACAUGAGAUAGAAUGAUCGAGUUGCUGUGUGCUCUGUGUUAGGCAUGAAAGAGCAUUCAAAUUUGUGCAAAUAUUUGGGUCUUCUAUCAGUAGUGGGUAUAAACAAAAUGGAAAUAUUUGGUUUUUUGAAGGACAAAGUGUGGCAGAAACUUAACUCCUGGAAACGUCAUUGCUUGUCUCAUACAAGUAAAGAAAUCUUACUAAAAACAGUGCUUGAAGCACUUCCUAAUUAUGUGAUGAGCAUGUUCCUAAUCCUAAGACUCUCAGUCACGAGCUCCAACAGAUGAUGAAUAUGCUUUGAUGGAUAAAGGUAUUAACCAUAAUAUGCUUUGAUGGAUAAAGGUAUUAACCAUAAAAGGAGAAUCUAUUGGAUGAGUUGGGAUAGAAUGAGUCAACCAAAAUUUGUUGGAGAAUUGGGCUUAGUUCAAAUUGGCUAUGGUUUUCCAAGCUUGGAAUAUUGUGACUAAUCCUUCUUCUUUGGUGGCAAAUUGUGACUAACCCUUCUUCUUUGGUGGCAAGGUUAAUUAAAGCUCGUUAUUUUCCUAUGCUAAUUUUAUUUCAGCUUGUUAGGUCCAAUCCAGGUGAUCCAAUCCAGGGUGGUCCAAUCGAAGCAUUUGGGAAGCACAAUAUGUUAUUAAGGUUCACUCAUAUGAUGGUUCUUUUGUUGGCGCUCGUCAAUUUUGACUCCUUAGCUAAUUGCCAUUAGAAAAGUUCUGAGUUGGAUUAAGGGAUUGGGUUAUGAUCAAAUAGUGUUGGAAUCAAAUACUCUUAUGGUAGUGAAGACUUUGCUUUCCUCUUCAAGUUCUGAUUUUUCUAACGUUGAACCCCUUGUUGAUGAUCGUAAAUCUCUAAUCUCUAAUGGCAGAGAUGAAUUAAGUAUGUUGUUCCUGAGUCUGCCGAUAAUAUGACACAUCUUAUAGCUCUGCAGUCCACAAUUGAUUUGUUCAUGCUUUGAUGUUUGACUUUUAAAUUUGGGUGGCUGUGAACUCCUUCACAAUUAAUUAUUUGUUCCUACUUUCAAAUUUGAAUGUAAUUAUACUUUUAGUUCAAAAAAAAAACCCAACUAAGCAUAUUAUAUAAGAAGGCCCACCUCGGCCCAAAGUCAAAGUACAAGACCCAAUCUAAAAAUCCAACAACUAUCCUAUAAGAAGCCCAGCCCACCCAAGAAGGACCCAGAAGACAAGCACAGAUUCACUACCACCUCCAACACUGCCAACACCUUCAGAAAACUUGAAGGAGUGAAUGAAAGAGAAAAUUGAGCGAAAUCAAAGCAUGCCUGAAACAAAGGAGAAGCCCAAGCAACAACAACCAAGCAUACAAAACUAAUUUAUCAAGCAGAGCUUCCAAAAACACCAAAAUGGAACGCACAAACUUACAGGAGCAUCGAUGAAAGCCACCAGAAGAAGAAAAUGGUGCCAUGGCAGUUUCAUUCUCACAUCGCCAUGGAGGGACUGUUUUGAGGCAAACUACCACUCUGAUACCCAUUCCACCCAUCUUUCCAAAAAUCUGAUAGCAAACAACAGCAUUAGAGGCAUCCGGACGCCAGGCUCUUCACAUGCAAGACUAACUCAAAUAUGGAUCGGCCAAACAACCCACUCUCAACAUCAUACGACUUAGCAAAAAAACAAACAACCACACCGACCGAAGAGAGUCGCCGUGGGUAAGCAAUCCAACAUCGGCCGGAGGCAACCAUUGCCCAAACGAGCAGAGAAGCCUCACACACAACAGACAAAUGCCUGUCAAACGAGAUAAACAAAACGGCCACCAAACCCUCCUUCCAUAAAAGCGUCGAUUGCCCUUCCUGACGAGCGCUUUCCUCUCUUUUUCUUACUCUUUCUCUUUCUCUCUCUCGUUCUCUUUUAAAUUAAAAUAUUUUCGGUAUUGUGUUUGUAGUUUUAUUUUUAUUUAAAAAAACAUUAGGUUUUAUAAUUAGCAGGGUUAGGAUAAAACUUGUUUUAUAAAAAUAAAUGUUUUAAAAAACAACAGCACCGAAACAAGGGUAGUUCGGUUAGUUGGGACUUGUGUUAGGAUAAAACUAAGGCAGGAUAGUAAAAUGCACGCUGUGGAUUGGAGUUGCUGGCUUUAAAUUAGCAUGUUGAAUCAACUAAUUAAAGUCUAGAAAAUUAAUGGUCUGUGACCUUGUGAUUCGAGCCUGUCUAGUAUGGGUGGAAUUGAAAGUCUAAUUCUGGGUAUUUUGUUUUGUGUUGUAUGGAAGCAUUUGCUGAAUGUGUUUUGAUUUUCAGAUGGCUGUGGUAUGGAAGUGGUAAAGAUGUUCUAUGCCACUAUUUAUGUUUUGAAAGAUGCGACUGUGUUUUAGAAUGGAUAAUGCAGGAUGCAGGAUGUUUGCUGCUAUUAUGUGUUUUGAGUUCUUUAAGGAGUGAAAUGGAAGGUUCAUGAAGAGUAUUAGACCUUCAAUUGAUGUACCGUUGGUUUUAAGUUUCUUAUUGGUUAAUAAUUUACAAGUCAUUGUUGAUUGAUUGGCAUUUUAAAAAUAUUCAAGGUUUGUAUUUAAACUGUGCAAUUAGCUGGGAAUACGUUGUGAUUGAUUUAUAUAAUAGGUGUUUUGCCUGUACAGUG